AUUGAACGCUGGCGGCAGGCCUAACACAUGUAAGUCGAACGAGUGGCGGACGGGUGAGUAAUGUCUGGGAAACUGCCUGAUGGAGGGGGAUAACUACUGGAAACGGUAGCUAAUACCGCAUACCAUCGGAUGUGCCCAGAGGGGAGUAGCUAGUAGGUGGGGUAACGGCUCACCUAGGCGACGAUCCCUAGCUGGUCUGAGAGGAUGACCAGCCACACUGGAACUGAGACACGGUCCAGACUCCUACGGGAGGAAGCAGUGGGGAAUAUUGCACAAUGGGGGCAAGCCUGAUGCAGCCAUGCCGCGUGUAUGAAGAAGGCCUUCGGGUUGGAAAGUACUUUCAGCGGGGAGGCGUUACCCGCAGAAGAAGCACCGGCUAACUCCGUGCCAGCCGCCGCGGUAAUAC
rnacentral:rRNA from 1 species